AGCGGGUAGCGGAUGGCCGCCGGCUUCACGGCUGGAGGAAAGUCCGGGCACCGCAGGGCAUGAUGCUGGAUAACGUCCAGGCGCGGUAACGCGACAGAAAGUGCAACAGAAAGCAAACCGCCCCGUUUGAACUUCGGUUCAGCGAGGUAAGGGUGAAAUGGCGAGGUAAGAGCUCACCGCGCUUCUGGUGACAGGGGCGGCAUGGUAAACCUCAUCCGGUGCAAGACCAAGCAGGAUUCCGUUCGCAAGAACCUGGUGCGGCCCGUGCCAGCUGGAUAUCCGGGUAGGUCGCUUGAGGCGGUCGGUAACGAUUCGUCCAGAGAGAUGGUCAUCGCCUCGAUGGCAACAUUGGGGUACAGAACCCGGCUUAUAACUACCCGUUUAUG
rnacentral:RNase_P_RNA from 1 species